UACGUAGGGGGCAAGCGUUGUCCGGAAUUAUUGGGCGUAAAGAGCGCGUAGGCGGUCCGAUAAGUCGGCUGUGAAAGUCAGGGGCUCAACCCUUGAAAGCCGGCCGAUACUGUCGGACUAGAGUCCGGAAGAGGCAAGUGGAAUUCCCGGUGUAGCGGUGAAAUGCGCAGAUAUCGGGAGGAACACCAAUGGCGAAGGCAGCUUGCUGGGACGGUACUGACGCUGAGGC
rnacentral:rRNA from 1 species